AGUGAACGCUGGCGGCGUGCCUAAUACAUGCAAGUCGAACGGAGAUUAAGUAACUUGCUAUUUAAUCUUAGUGGCGCACGGGUGAGUAAUAUAUAGCUAACUUGCCCAUUACUAAGGGACAACAGUUGGAAACGACUGCUAAUACCUUAUACUCCGUAUCUAUAUAAGUAGAUACGGGAAAGUUUUUCGGUAAUGGAUAGGGCUAUAUCGUAUCAGCUAGUUGGUAAGGUAAUGGCUUACCAAGGCUAUGACGCGUAACUGGUCUGAGAGGAUGAUCAGUCACACUGGAACUGAGACACGGUCCAGACUCCUACGGGAGGCAGCAGUAGGGAAUAUUGCUCAAUGGGGGAAACCCUGAAGCAGCAACGCCGCGUGGAGGAUGACACUUUUCGGAGCGUAAACUCCUUUUCUUGGGAAAGAAUUAUGACGGUACCCAAGGAAUAAGCACCGGCUAACUCCGUG
rnacentral:rRNA from 1 species